rnacentral:rRNA from 1 species
GCUCAGGACGAACGCUGGCGGCGCGCCUAACACAUGCAAGUCGAACGGAGCUGAGAGGAGCUUGCUUUUCUCAGCUUAGUGGCGAACGGGUGAGUAACGCGUGAGUAACCUGCCCUGGAGUGGGGGACAACAGUUGGAAACGACUGCUAAUACCGCAUAAGCCCACGGCCCGGCAUCGGGCUGCGGGAAAAGGAUUUAUUCGCUUCAGGAUGGACUCGCGUCCAAUUAGCUAGUUGGUGAGGUAACGGCCCACCAAGGCGACGAUUGGUAGCCGGACUGAGAGGUUGAACGGCCACAUUGGGACUGAGACACGGCCCAGACUCCUACGGGAGGCAGCAGUA